rnacentral:rRNA from 1 species
AUUGAACGCUGGCGGCAGGCCUAACACAUGCAAGUCGAGCGGAUGAAGGGAGCUUGCUCCUGGAUUCAGCGGCGGACGGGUGAGUAAUGCCUAGGAAUCUGCCUGGUAGUGGGGGAUAACGUCCGGAAACGGGCGCUAAUACCGCAUACGUCCUGAGGGAGAAAGUGGGGGAUCUUCGGACCUCACGCUAUCAGAUGAGCCUAGGUCGGAUUAGCUAGUUGGUGGGGUAAAGGCCUACCAAGGCGACGAUCCGUAACUGGUCUGAGAGGAUGAUCAGUCACACUGGAACUGAGCCCCGGUCCAGACUCCUACGGGAGGCAGCAGUGGGGAAUAUUGGACAAUGGGCGAAAGCCUGAUCCAGCCAUGCCGCGUGUGUGAAGAAGGUCUUCGGAUUGUAAAGCACUUUAAGUUGGGAGGAAGGGCAGUAAGUUAAUACCUUGCUGUUUUGACGUUACCAACAGAAUAAGCACCGGCUAACUUCGUG